GGUCAUGAGCGCCAGCGUCAAGCCCCGGCUCGCUGGCCGGCAACCCUCCACCACGGUGGGGUGCUCCGGGUGAGGACCAGGCGCCGGCAGCCGUCGGCGCAAGCGUGGCCU
rnacentral:ncRNA from 2 species